rnacentral:rRNA from 1 species
ACGGAAGGCAGCAGUGAGGAAUAUUGGUCAAUGGGCGGAAGCUUGAACCAGCCAAGUCGCGUGAAGGAUGAAGGUAUUAUGUAUUGUAAACUUCUUUAGACGCAGAGAAAUAAGAGGGUCGUGACCCUUGAUGCUAGUAUGCGUAGAAUAAGCAUCGGCUAAUUCCGUGCCAGCAGCCGCGGUAAUACGGAAGAUGCGAGCGUUAUCCGGAUUUAUUGGGUUUAAAGGGAGCGUAGGCGGCCUCUUAAGUCAGCGGUCAAAUGUCAGCGCCCAACGCUGGCCUGCCGUUGAUACUGAUGGGCUUGAAUACACACAAGGAAGGUGGAAUUCGUCGUGUAGCGGUGAAAUGCUUAGAUAUGACGAAGAACUCCGAUUGCGAAGGCAGCCUUCUGGAGUGCGAUUGACGCUGAGGCUCGAAAGCGCGGGUAUCAAACAGGAUUAGAUACCCUGGUA